rnacentral:misc_RNA from 1 species
GAUGAAGAACGUAGCGAAAUGCGAUACUUGGUGUGAAUUGCAGAAUCCCGUGAACCAUCGAGUCUUUGAACGCAAGUUGCGCCCGAAGCCAUCAGGUUGAGGGCACGUCUGCCUGGGCGUCACAUAUCGUUGCCCAAUGCCUAUUACAGUGCAAUAGGAAUUUCUAGGGCGAAUGAUGGCUUCCCGUGAGCGUUGUUGCCUCGCGGUUGGUUGAAAAUCGAGUCCUUGGUAGGGUGUGCCAUGGUAGAUGGUGGUCGAGUUAGAACGAUACCGAUCAUGUGCAUGCUCCCCAAAAUAUGGCCUCUAUGACCCACACGCGUCUUUUGACGCUCAUGACGAGACCUCAGGUCAGGCGGGGCUACCCGCUGAAUUUAAGCAUAUCAAUAAGCGGAGGA